AUACGUAGGUGGCAAGCGUUGUCCGGAAUUACUGGGUGUAAAGGGUGCGUAGGCGGGGAUGCAAGUCAGAUGUGAAAUCUAUCGGCUCAACUGGUAAACUGCAUUUGAAACUGCAUUUCUUGGGUGGUGGAGAGGUAAGCGGAAUUCCUAGUGUAGCGGUGAAAUGCGUAGAUAUUAGGAGGAACACCAGUGGCGAAGGCGGCUUACUGGACACUAACUGACGCUGAGGCACGAAAGCAUGGGGAGCAAACAGGAUUAGAUACCCUGGUAGUCCAUGCCGUAAACGAUGAUUACUAGGUGUAGGGGGUAUCGACCCCUUCUGUGCCGGAGUUAACACAAUAAGUAAUCCACCUGGGGAGUACGGCCGCAAGGUUGAAACUCAAAUGAAUUGGCGGGG
rnacentral:rRNA from 1 species